AGAUCAAACAGAUUUAUUGCUUUGUUAAAAGGACAUUCAGUUUCAAGAACUAAAAAUAUUCUAAACUAGGUGCUGAUAUCAAAUGAGUUUUAUCAAAAAGUCAUUUGUGGAAAUUAUAUCCAAUAAGCUGUUGUGGUAAAAAGUGGAGGAAAAUGUUCUAAUCAAUUUAUUAACAAACCACAAAGUCAGAUAACAAUUGUGAUAAACACAUAACAUUUAAAUAACUUUAUUCAAAUAGCUUUUACUUAAUUAAAAAAAAAAAGAGAGUCCAUCACACUUGCUUGGAAGUUUCUAGUAACCCUGAAGACCUUGAUUCACUGCUUCAGGUGUUUUUAAUCAGGUUGGAGAUAAACUCAGGAAAGUGGCUCAUCAGGAGCAGGAUCCAGUAGCUCCUCACUGCAGAACACAUGAGAUCCAGGGGGUGGAGAUGGCUGUGGACAACACAAAUUACUGUAGUUGUGCUGCAGGAUUUCAGGGCAAUGACAUAUUGUACAGUGGAUGCAUGUGCAGAGAACAAUGGUGGCUGCUCUGUCCAUGCCAUGUGCAAGAAUACUGUACCAGGACAGAGAAUGUGUGUUUGCUACCCAGAUUAUGAAGGCAAUGGAAAACUAUCAAUCCAUGUCUGGCUGGUAAUAACAGAAUGCCAUAUGAAUGCAGUCAGCAUCUACAGGUCCUUAUAAGGUAAGAUACUAAUAUACAAACCAUCCACAAAGGCAGCAAACAAAUACAAUUUAAAAAAAUUCCAUAUCACAUUUCACUCAAAUAUACACAAACAACUGCUCCACAGUGCAAGUUUAUUGCUAACACCUGCCUGUAGUUAAAUUCCUAAGAGCCUUGAUUACUUGGUUUAAGCAUUUAGUUCAAGUUGUUCAAUGAAAACCAAACUACAAUAAAGAUUUUAAAUCCACAAAGACAGCACAAAUACUACCAUGCUUGAGAAGUAUCAGUGUUUGUUACCACAACAGUGUGUGGUUACCAACACUUCAAAAUAUUAUGUGUCCCACAGGGGAAAGAGGGGGAAAUGGGAGUAAAUGACAGUGUUCAUGUCUGGGUGAAGAUACAAUGGUUUUAUUUAAAUUCACCUUAAAAAUAAUGGCUGUACUAAUACUACUGUAAAGUAUAAACAAUAAAAUUUUAUUACCUUAAACUACAGUUGUCCUUAAAGUCAGAUGACUUAAUCCAUCAUUGGUUACUGAAUGUUUAGAAAGUUAAUGGUUUGACUAGAACAGGCCCAACUUCUACAUUAAUUUUAGAACCCACCAGCUGACAACCACUGCAUUACAUAAACUUGACCUUGUGGCACUCAGCUCACAAUACCAUGAACAUCAUGAGUCACAAUUACUUGUUUUGUCAUAAAAAUGGAGGAUGCCACUGGUAUGCCGAAUGCACCAUGCAUUCCUCUCCAGAGGUCGUCAUUUGUAGGCUUGGCUUUAUUGGAGAUGGAGCGACUUGGGGAAAAAAGGCACCCUGCAGAAGGUUAGAAGUGCAGCAAACUGUAAACAGGCACAAGUGAAACAAUACCUUAACAGUGCUUAACUAAUUUCUUUUUAGGAGAUCCAAAACAAAUUUAGGCAAAUUUUACAUGGGACUGGUGGUAAGCUGAAUCUUAGUCAAAAUUUACACUUGUUUUUUUUAACUGGAAAUUCUGAGAUUGAUUUGACUGAGGGCUCUUUUUAUAAACAGGAAUGAUAUUCCUUAACUCAGAAGUUGUGGCCCUUUUACAGUCUUUGUACCCAAUUCAGAUGCUUACAACAAACCUGAGUGCAAGGGAUCUGGAAAGCGAACGCGUUCUGAAAACGCCAAAAUCCAGAGGUAUCACAUAGUGGCCUGCCGUGUCCUCCUGCCAAAAGAUCUCAUGCAGCCUCAUAACCUGACCACACUUAAUGGUGACAUCCUCACCGUUAUGUACUCAGAGAUGUCUGCAUGAGAUGACUGCAUAAGGUAUGUGUUUAACUUAUUAUUUGUUUCCAGGAUACUAUAUAUAUAUCUCAAUAUCAAAGCCAAGGUGGUGUUCAGUGAUCUGGAAAGUAGCAACGUGAUUUGAGACCAUGAGACUGACACUGUCCUAGUGCCCCCCAGUUUCCAGAUUCAGAAAGAAACAAAACGGCACACCGCGUAACCUCACAGAAGUGGUCAAUAUCCAUGGCUUCAAGACAUUCUACAAGCUCCUUGAGGACACAGAUACGUUGAAGUUGGUGAUGGACCCAGUUCAUCAGCCUGUCACCUUGUUCAUUCCCACUGACGGUGUAAUAGCCGCCCUGGCCCGUUUUUGUUAAAGCAUUGAAAUGAUUUAUUUAUGGGCAUGAUGAAUCUUCUAGGAUAUAGAUUUAUGACUGUUCUGUCUUUUUCAGCAAAUCCUGAAUUAUUCAACUUCUGCAUCAGGAAAAGUGUUUGUGAAUCGCCUAAGUAAUAUUACAAUCCAGUCCACUCUGUUUGUACCUGAUAACGAUGGCCUCUAUAGCAACCAGACUUUGAGUGGCAGAGACAUAGAGCACCAUCUACUGGAUGGGAGAGCUUUGGUACUGCCUUCACUUAUUAACAUCACUCAUGUCCGAACACGACUGGGACACAGCCUGACCAUCAGCAGCGUCCCAGAUUUCCAGAACCCUCAAGUAAUGAUCUCCUCUGGAGGACAUCAAUGACCGUUAUGUCAUAGACUCUGACAUUUUUGCAUCCAAUGGGGUCAUCCAUGUUCUCCAAGGCCCAUUGAAAGCACCUCCACCUCCAUCCAUCCACCCAGGUCAUAAGGCUGGGAUGGGCAUCGGCAUCCUGGGGCUCAUCAUCCUCAUCGUAGCAACUGGAUUUGUGGGAUAUAAUUUCUACUCGUAUAAAACAAAGCCAUUCCAGUUUCACUACUUUAAGGAGGAUGAAGGGGAAGCUGUGAACCCAUCAGAAUCCAGCCCAAACAUCAUUAAUCCUGUAUAUGACUCUGAACCUGCCACAAAAGAACAAACUCCAGCGGUCACUGACUCAAAGAGUGAAGACAAGCAUCAAGUGAUUUCCAGUGGAUCCUAUGACCUUCUCCAGGACAGCUGAAAUCACAAAGUCAAGCAUAUGCUAUGUAAUUAUUUAAUUAUCUCCAGAAACUAAGCAGUCGGACAUUCUAGUGCAGUUCUCUCUGAGAACAAGAGAGCUCACUGUGAACUCCACGUCAGUUUCGGGACAGUGGAAAGCUAAUGUAGACUGAGAAAUCAAUCUGAAUCUACUGAGGUUAUGUAUGCAUGUUUAUUUUUGGAUGAGAGAGUAAUUGAACGUGUAAAUGUUUUGAACUUGUUUACCAGCAGUCUCUAAAUUCUGUUGUACUACAGGCAUUAAUAAUGUCCAACAUGUUUUAAAUAACUGUCCUGCUCAAAGCACAAUUGAAACAAUAAAUAAAAGAAAAAUUGUGAA